rnacentral:rRNA from 1 species
AGAGUUUGAUCCUGGCUCAGAUUGAACGCUGGCGGCAGGCUUAACACAUGCAAGUCGAGCGGGGAGAUGUAGCUUGCUACAUUUCCUAGCGGCGGACGGGUGAGUAAUGCUUAGGAAUCUGCCUAUUAGUGGGGGACAACAUUCCGAAAGGAAUGCUAAUACCGCAUACGCCCUACGGGGGAAAGCAGGGGAUCUUCGGACCUUGCGCUAAUAGAUGAGCCUAAGUCAGAUUAGCUAGUUGGUGGGGUAAAGGCCUACCAAGGCGACGAUCUGUAGCGGGUCUGAGAGGAUGAUCCGCCACACUGGGACUGAGACACGGCCCAGACUCCUACGGGAGGCAGCAGUGGGGAAUAUUGGACAAUGGGCGCAAGCCUGAUCCAGCCAUGCCGCGUGUGUGAAGAAGGCCUUUUGGCUGUAAAGCACUUUAAGCGAGGAGGAGGCUACUUGGAUUAAUACUCUAGGAUAGUGGACGUUACUCGCAGAAUAAGCACCGGCUAACUCUGUGCCAGCAGCCGCGGUAAUA